GAUGAACGCUGGCGGCGUGCUUAACACAUGCAAGUCGAACGAUGAAGCCCAGCUUGCUGGGUGGAUUAGUGGCGAACGGGUGAGUAACACGUGAGUAACCUGCCCUUAACUCUGGGAUAAGCCUGGGAAACUGGGUCUAAUACCGGAUAGGAGCGUCCACCGCAUGGUGGGGGUUGGAAAGAUUUAGCGGUUUUGGAUGGACUCGCGGCCUAUCAGCUUGUUGGUGAGGUAAUGGCUCACCAAGGCGACGACGGGUAGCCGGCCUGAGAGGGUGACCGGCCACACUGGGACUGAGACACGGCCCAGACUCCUACGGGAGGCAGCAGUGGGGAAUAUUGCACAAUGGGCGCAAGCCUGAUGCAGCGACGCCGCGUGAGGGAUGACGGCCUUCGGGUUGUAAACCUCUUUCAGUAGGGAAGAAGCGAAAGUGACGGUACCUGCAGAAGAAGCACCGGCUAACUACGUG
rnacentral:rRNA from 1 species